AUACUUUUAUCUUUAAAUCACACACAUUCCGACACAUAUUCCGGGGUGCUGGGCAGAAGCCUAGUCGGAGUUAUGGGGGAUGUGGAGGCCUAAC
rfam:Vibrio sinaloensis strain T08 Contig19, whole genome shotgun sequence.